rnacentral:rRNA from 1 species
UACAGAGGUCUCAAGCGUUUGUUCGGAUUCAUUGGGCGUAAAGGGUGCGUAGGCGGCGUGGUAAGUCGGGUGUGAAAUCUCGGAGCUUAACUCCGAAACUGCAUUCGAUACUGCCGUGCUUGAGGACUGGAGAGGAGACUGGAAUUCAUGGUGUAGCAGUGAAAUGCGUAGAGAUCAUGAGGAAGACCAGUGGCGAAGGCGGGUCUCUGGACAGUUCCUGACACUGAGACACGAAGGCCAGGGGAGCAAACGGG